rnacentral:rRNA from 1 species
GACGAACGCUGGCGGCGUGCUUAACACAUGCAAGUCGAACGGAAAGGCCCUGCUUGCCGGGUACUCGAGUGGCGAACGGGUGAGUAACACGUGGGUGAUCUGCCCUGCACUUCGGGUUAAGCCUGGGAAACUGGGUCUAAUACCGGAUAGGAGCCAUUUUUAGUGUGAUGGUUGGAAAGUUUUUUCGGUGUAGGAUGAGCUGGCGGCCUAUCAGCUUGUUGGUGGGGUAAUGGCCUACCAAGGCGGCGACGGGUAGCCGGCCUGAGAGGGUGGACGGCCACAUUGGGACUGAGAGGCGGCCCAGACGCCUACGGGAGGCAGCAGUGGGGAAGAUUGCACAAGGGGCGCAAGCCUGAUGCAGCGACGCCGCGUGGGGGAUGACGGCCUUCGGGUUGAAAACUCCUUUCGCUAGGGACGAAGCUUUUUGUGACGGUACCUAGAGAAGAAGCACCGGCUAACUACGUG